rnacentral:rRNA from 1 species
ACGGUACCAUCAGAAGAAGCACCGGCUAACUACGUGCCAGCAGCCGCGGUAAUACGUAGGGUGCGAGCGUUAAUCGGAAUUACUGGGCGUAAAGCGUGCGCAGGCGGUUAUGUAAGACAGAUGUGAAAUCCCCGGGCUCAACCUGGGAACUGCGUUUGUGACUGCAUAACUAGAGUACGGCAGAGGGAGGUGGAAUUCCGCGUGUAGCAGUGAAAUGCGUAGAGAUGCGGAGGAACACCGAUGGCGAAGGCAGCCUCCUGGGCCAGUACUGACGCUCAUGCACGAAAGCGUGGGGAGCAAACAGGAUUAGAUACCCUGGUAGUCCACGCCCUAAACGAUGUCAACUAGUUGUUCGGUGAGGAGACUCAUUGAGUAACGCAGCUAACGCGUGAAGUUGACCGCCUGGGGAGUACGGCCGCAAGGUUAAAACUCAAAGGAAUUGACGGGGACCCGCACAAGCGGUGGAUGAUGUGGAUUAAUUCGAUGCAACGCGAAAAACCUUACCUACCCUUGACAUGCCAGGAACUUGCCAGAGAUGGCUUGGUGCCCGAAAG